rnacentral:rRNA from 1 species
AGCGAACGCUGGCGGCAGGCUUAACACAUGCAAGUCGAGCGGGCAUCCUUGUGGUGUCAGCGGCAGACGGGUGAGUAACGCGUGGGAACGUGCCCUUCGGUUCGGAAUAACUCAGGGAAACUUGAGCUAAUACCGGAUACGUGCGAGAGCAGAAAGGUUUAUCUGCCGAAGGAUCGGCCCGCGUCUGAUUAGCUAGUUGGUGAGGUUACGGCUCACCAAGGCGACGAUCAGUAGCUGGUCUGAGAGGAUGAUCAGCCACACUGGGACUGGGACACGGCCCAGACUCCUACGGGAGGCAGCAGUGGGGAAUAUUGGACAAUGGGGGCAACCCUGAUCCAGCCAUGCCGCGUGAGUGAUGACGGCCUUAGGGUUGUAAAGCUCUUUUCUCCGGGACGAUAAUGACGGUACCGGAGGAAUAAGCCCCGGCUAACUUCGUG